GACGAACCGUGCGAACGUUAUUCGGAAUCACUGGGCUUAAAGGGCGCGUAGGCGGGCGGCCAAGUCAGAGGUGAAAGCCCCCAGCUCAACUGGGGAAGUGCCUUUGAUACUGGUCGUCUCGAGGGAGAUAGGGGCGUGCGGAACUUCCGGUGGAGCGGUGAAAUGCGUAGAUAUCGGAAGGAACACCGGUGGCGAAAGCGGCGCGCUGGAUCUCUUCUGACGCUGAGGCGCGAAAGCCAGGGGAGCGAACGGG
rnacentral:rRNA from 1 species